UUUGACUCUUCGUCUUAUUUAAAUUUUUUUUACGAUUAAUAUUUUUAUUCUUACUGGAUGAUAAAACAUAAAUAAUACUUUAUGCGUGACUAAUUUUUUUAAAAUUUUUUAACAAAUUUUUCAAAUAAAAUAAAUGGUCAAA
rnacentral:pre_miRNA from 1 species